GGGGGGGGGGGGGGUUAUUUUCCCCAAAGCGACCUAGACAGAAUAAGUCAGUUGUAACUCGAAAUCUGUUUUCAGAUUAGAUCCACGUGAAAGUGUAAAUAUUACUAGCCUUUAUAUUGCAACGUUCCUCUUUUGGGGACUGUUAGCUUUGCUCAACCAAAGGUUUGUGGUAUUGAAAUAGAAUGCAAUUAUAUGACUAAUCAUGAGAAUACUUUCCGAAAUGUCAGCGUAUAAUGCAUGGGCAUGAACCCUGAAAGCUCGUCUGAAUUUAAUUGUAGUAUUUCAUGGAUAUGAGGUAAAAAUACGGGAUGAUAACAAGUUUUCUCAACUUUUCCUAAGGCAAUAAAGAUGAAAUUUGUCGCAAUUUCGUAACAAAUUCAAAAGUAUUGGAAUGUUGUUUAAUCAGUUAGAUUGCUGGAAGUGAUAUAGAACGACUGCCAGGGCUACAACUUAUACUAUGUGACAAAGACGGCCACCAGACGAACUGAGGCGAUGGGGUACGACAACGAUGUAGCGAGGAAGGCGACCUACAGGUUGAUAGCGACCACGACGGCUACCAAGUUACGACUACGGCGAUGGCGACCACGGUGGUAACCAGCGAGGGAAAAGGGCGGCGGCCAGGGUGACAACCAGAGCAACGAACAAGAUGACGGCAACGAUGAUCAUCAGGAUGGAGCCGAGCAGGGCGACGGCAUGGACGGCAAAGACGACCGGAGGGACGGCGACCAGGGUGAGCUACGGAUAAUAAUGCAUAUACGAGGGAAGAAGGGCGGCGGCUGGGGUGACUACCAGGGCGAUGGCAACCAGAGCAACGAAAAGGAUGACGGCAACGAUGAUCAUCAGGAUGGAGCCUACGAGGGCGACGGCAACCGGAACUUGACUUUUGACUGGCGACGACCAGAGGGACGGCGACCAGGGUGAUAGCUACGGAGAUAUAUAUUUUAUGUACAACAAGAUGAUAUACUACACUUUGUCUCUUCACUGCUAAGACGACGACGAAUGAACUUUAAUCUUAGCAGCCUCGCAGAGAUCACAACUUAAGUCUGCAGAUUGAACUCAAUGCACGAGGUGGAAUGAUAAAACACGACAUCGCAAGGUAAAGCUGAUUGGUAUGCUAACAUGAGCUACAACAGUACAAGCUAGAUGACAUUCAUGUGAAUGACAACAGUGCUCUUCACCACAAAAAAAUCUCAACUUUGACGCCCAUGAACAAUGGAAACUUUGAAUCUUGCUCAACCAAGAUAAUGCCAACAAAUUAUGUAUGAAAGAGGAUUCUUCAUAAUUUAUUUACAUUGAUGUACAUUUGUUUUAAGUGAGAGAGAAUAAGAUUGUAUCAUGUGCUUUAUAUUAUGGCACUUUGUAUGCAUUUCAUUAUUUGGAUAUUUUGUAAACAUAAGAAAAUUAAUGUAUGCCAAGCAAAAUGAUAGCAUAUUUUAUAUACAGAUGAAAUUUAUAAAAAAUACUUUUCAGCGUUGAUUAUCAUUUUAUAUUUGUAUAUCUAUAUUUAUAUGGAAAUGUCUUAUUUGUCGCAGUAAUUUUUUUAUAUAUAUUCAAAUCUCACUUGCUAUGUAGUUCUACCUACCUUCAGUAUUGUGUUAGGUGCGCCAACAACAUUUUUGUUCUUUAACUUCAUUUCCUUAAAACAAUACUACUUUCCUAAUGACAAUAUUCUAAUAAUAAUACAGAUUUUCUCACACCAAUGAAUAACCAACAAUAAAGCAGCAUGACUAAUAUCACCAGUAUGACCCAUUAUACUGUUGAUAUAUCAUACAUUCAUACUAUCCGAGUAUAACUCUUUUUGUAUAAUUUAGUAAUGAUACUAAUUUUACGUAAGAUUUACGAAUCGCUUUUCCGUAUGCCAUGGGUAUGUGAUGUAUAAUUAUUAUUGCCUGGUAAGUUACAUUACUCUAUAACAUGUUUUAAUCAACGGCGCUUCUAACUAAUAUUGCUGCUGCUGCUAUUUGUAUGUUAUUAAUAAUUGUUUUAAACUUUGAAGCACUAAAACUCUAAUCAAAUGCGCUAAUGGCUAAUACAUAAUAAAUAGUCUAAUGAUUUGUGUUAUACUCGAUUUGUGUAUCUUUGAAAUGUAAGCAUAUAUAUAUAAAUAUAUACAUUCAUAUCGUAUAACUAUAUAUCUUUUAUCCCUAACGUACAAUACAACUUGUAAUUUAAAACCCUAACUCUAAUUAUUUCAUUGUAUGUGUAUAUAUUGCAUGUGUUUGUUGUGUCAUUCUCUAGUAUUAUGUUAUGUCACAUCUCAUUCAUGUAAUCUGUUCAUAUUGAUGUAACAUAACUAACUAUACAAUUCUAACUAUACUGUUACUACUUCUACUAAUCAACUGUGCUGAUAUAUAUAUAUAUUAUUGUAACACAUGUUUUAGUGAUUUGUUUAAUAUAUUUGCUUUGUUACAAAUAUAAUCGUAACUAUAUGAACUGUACAUUUUUCUCCCUUACAGGUACAUAUACAGUUACUUCUUUAGACACCCUAAUAAUCUUAUUUAAUGUAUGUGUCUAUGUUGUACAGCUGAUUUUACAGUAUAUACCGUUUCACCCUUGAUAUUUCAUUGAUGUAAUCCUUUUGUAUUGCUACAAGUACUAUGUUACUGUUCCUAUGUUAUUUGAUGCGUGUACAAUUUUGAUGAUAUCAGAAUAAAAAUAUCGUUCACUUAUACAAUACAUGUAUAACUGUUAUAAAUAAAUAAUCAGAUGUAUACCUGUUAUACUGUUAUUACUGUCACGUCUCUAUCAAAAUUAAAUUGCAUACAAUUAUUUUGGAGUAUGCUGUUUUCAUGUAUGGUAAUUCUGAAGCCUGUGAAUUCUCGGAUUUCAAAAUGAUUUGUGUUGAUAAUUUUGUUUGUGUAAAGAAUAUUAUGUGAUCCAUACCAUUUCGUUUAACUGCUCUGUCAAAUGGUUUUAUAUCAAGUCAAAUUACUUGUGUUAUAAAGGUAUAAAUCAGAUGAACCCUUGUCAUUGGAAUUCUGUGUUAGGUUCUCAAUCUUCCUUGUUUAGGUCCUUUGUAGUAAUGUGGUAUUAAUUCAUUUUCUUGAUAUACAUAAUAUUACUUUAAAUGGAGUUAAAUUUAAAAGAGCACUGGCAGUAACUAUGUAAAGGCGCAAUCAUGACACUGCUAAGUGACAUAUGAGUUAACAUUUAUAAUUCUUAUACGAUGCCUAUAUUGUGUUUUUCAAAUUGACGUAUGAUUAUCGUGCUUAAAGACAAAAGAUAUAUUAAAAUAAAGAAUUCGUGGUUUAAAAUCA
rnacentral:lncRNA from 1 species